CAGCUUGAGGUAGGGUUUCCAGUGUUCAUAGACUGCCUUGGAGUCUCCCAAAAUGAUGCUGAAUUUCUCAGCCACUACAGGGAGCACCGGAAGUACAGUUACACCUGUGUAGAGGGAGUGUGCCGUUCCUCCGCUCCUGGGUCGAGUCGGCACCAGCACCUACCAAGAUUGAGGCUGUCAUCUGCCGCACCUGGGUUGAGUCAGUGCUGGCAACCACCAUGACUGAGAGGUUCUGCUGUUCCUCCACACUUGGGCCCCAGUCCUGACUAUUUCAUAACAUUCAAAGCAGCUGUUGUGGAUACGGUCCAUGGGAGAUAGGAAAUCAACAUGCUUCAUUUAUCAAUAACAGAGUCCCUCCACAAAAUAAUCUCCAAUUAAUGGUGGCCAGGAUUGUUGCUAAUUCUGUCCGCUGUGAGCUAUCAGGAAAUUUAGAAAACGUAAAGCUAACGCUAAAGUUUUUAAUUACAAGUUCCAUUUUAAGACUUGGUCAGAUUGGCUGCCGCUUCAAACUCUUAUUAAGUUUUCUACAAUGCAUCGGAGCCUAUUGUGAAGAUUUGUAAUACUUUUAGAGGCAUUGACAAUGGAUUAAAUCUGAUUUUGUGGUGGAGUGGGAAUGAAAUCUGCAAGUAUUCUAAAGGAAUGAAAAGGUGAGAAGCGAAUGUAUUAAAUUCACCCAUCUUUUGAAUCAACAUUCAUUCUAUUAUUAAUGAUCCAGAACCUUUUUAUCCAUGGCCAUAAUCUUACAUUGUCCUUAGAUACAUAAACAGUGCUUGAUGUGAUGUGUAUUAGCAAAGUCCAAAAUUCAAAAGCAGAUUUUAAGCCUUAUCCGAUCUAGGUAUGUAUCUACAGGUGUCCUCGCUAUAGGGAGAUGUACUGUAUUAACCUACUCUGCGAAGACUAGCUUCUUUCCCUGUCUUGUCUCAGCAGUGCGGUCUAACAGCCAAUGCCCACGAUUUGAGUGAUGGGGUCCCCUCCCUACCAAGAAGGAGAUCCUUCCAGCUACCAAAAUAGUUUAAGCACAGUUUAUUAUAUUUUUAAUGACACAUGC